GACAGAGGGUGCAAACGUUGUUCGGAAUUACUGGGCGUAAAGCGAGUGUAGGCGGUCUGUAAAGUCGGGUGUGAAAGCCCCGGGCUCAACCCGGGAAGUGCACUCGAAACUCACAGGCUAGAGUAUCGGAGAGGUUGGUGGAAUUCUCGGUGUAGAGGUGAAAUUCGUAGAUAUCGAGAGGAACACCGGGUGGCGAAGGCGGCCACCUGGACGGUAACUGACGCUGAGACGCGAAAGCGUGGGGAGCAAACAGG
rnacentral:rRNA from 1 species